AGUGAACGCCGGCGGUAGGCCUAACACAUGCAAGUCGAACGGCAGCACAGUAAGAGCUUGCUCUUACGGGUGGCGAGUGGCGGACGGGUGAGGAAUACAUCGGAAUCUACUUUUUCGUGGGGGAUAACGUAGGGAAACUUACGCUAAUACCGCAUACGACCUACGGGUGAAAGCAGGGGAUCUUUGGACCUUGCGCGAUUGAAUGAGCCGAUGUCGGAUUAGCUAGUUGGCGGGGUAAAGGCCCACCAAGGCGACGAUCCGUAGCUGGUCUGAGAGGAUGAUCAGCCACACUGGAACUGAGACACGGUCCAGACUCCUACGGGAGGCAGCAGUGGGGAAUAUUGGACAAUGGGCGCAAGCCUGAUCCAGCCAUACCGCGUGGGUGAAGAAGGCCUUCGGGUUGUAAAGCCCUUUUGUUGGGAAAGAAAAGCAGCAGGUUAAUACCCCGCUGUUCUGACGGUACCCAAAGAAUAAGCACCGGCUAACUUCGUG
rnacentral:rRNA from 1 species